rnacentral:rRNA from 1 species
UUGCCCCUACGGGAGGCAGCAGUGGGGAAUAUUGCACAAUGGGCGCAAGCCUGAUGCAGCGACGCCGCGUGAGGGAAGACGGUCUUCGGAUUGUAAACCUCUGUCUUUGGGGAAGAAAAUGACGGUACCCAAAGAGGAAGCUCCGGCUAACUACGUGCCAGCAGCCGCGGUAAUACGUAGGGAGCGAGCGUUGUCCGGAAUUACUGGGUGUAAAGGGAGCGUAGGCGGGCGAGAAAGUUGAAUGUUAAAUCUACCGGCUUAACUGGUAGCUGCGUUCAAAACUUCUUGUCUUGAGUGAAGUAGAG